rnacentral:lncRNA from 1 species
CCUUACCCCUGCUGGCUUCCAGGAUGCCAUUGCCAAGAACUGCAACGGUGUUGCAAAGUCGAAGUACAGGCCGAACAGCAAGUGGAUGGGAAAGAACCUUGACAACACAAAACUCAUUUACUAAUGGACUGGUUUUGAGUUUCUCCUCCCUGGGUCCGCAAAUCUCCUUCCUGAUCCCUUGGCCUAGUCAGUCUUCGCAGUCAACGGCGUCCUGCACUGGGCAGGUGGGCGGCAGUUUUCGUGUGUUGCUCAGAAUCUGAACCUAGCUCCCCAAGGACGCCGGGCACCAGCGGCUUCCGUCCAAGGAGAGGAAGAAGAUGAACAUUGUUGCCUCGGCUCGGCUCGGAUCUGAGUCUCCGCAUUGCUGCAUAGAGAUGGCAUUAGUUUAUUGAGGAUGCCCUUGACUUCCAAAUCCGUAGGUAGGGGUAGGAGUCCUUUUUGAUGAUAAAGGAACUCCAAGAAACCCGGCUGGGAGCCUCAAGUCAUCUUGCUUCAAGUCAGAAGGAAAACAAGUAGGACCCAGAUACAGGAUUUUGAUUCAAGGCCUAUGUCGACCCAGCAGCUCUAUAUGUUGUCGCCUUGGCCUUUCGGAGCACCGCCUGUGUGCCUGGCCAUUACCAGCACUGUGGAGGCACCCUGAGCCUCUCCUCCAGAGGCACCCUACUAAGCCCGGAAGCUGCCAGGGCAGCAGCAAACAGACUAGAGUGGUUGGGUUUCCUUUAAAUUCCCGACGCAUCUCUGCUUUUUCAUGCGAUUUGCAUUGACAGCAAAGGUUUUAUAUUACAGAACAACUCCAACCUUUCUGUGCGCGAUUUAAAAUGGAUCAUUUGGUUUAUGUGGUUUGUAAAUUCAUGUCAUUUUACCUCUUUUAGUGGUUUUCAGUGAAAGGUUCCAUUUGGGGAAACCUUAUAUAUCCAAGCCAAUAAUUAUCAUUUAUAACAAUUGGUUCUCUUAACCGAGGGAUCCAAAUAGCAGGUAGGCUCCUUGGUACAAAGCGCACAGCACUUUUCCUUUUUAGUUAAGUGAUCUAUUGGAUUAAAUGGGAGGGAGUGAAAGGCUGGCGUGUCCAGCGCCCACCCCCACCUCCACCCCGCUCCCUCCUCUGCCUCUGAGAAAAAGUACCUCUCAUAACCUCGGUGCCGGUUAUCACAGAACUUAUGCCACUCCUCUUGCCAGUUGUCACCAGUGUCUGGUACAGUCCUGAUUCCUUUUGAAGAGAGAUUAAAAAAAAAAAAAAAAAAAAAAAAGGCCUGGGGGAUCUGGAGGAUGCCAGGGAAAUGGUAGUCAUAUACUACCAUUCAUUCCUGCUAUCCUCUGCAAAUGUAUACCUGUAGUUAUCUGUGACUUAUACCUCUCUUCCCUACAAAGACUGUUAAUUACAAAGUAUACUCUGCACUCAACGUACCGUUUGUCCUUUAAGUGACUGUGUUUAUAGCCCUCCUCCCAUUUUAAUUGUGCACACUUGUUCCAGACAUUAGGGUACUGAUUUUGAGAGCCCAUAUAAGUCCCCAUUCUGGUCCUCACACAGCUGCCAUGUCAAUAAGGACUGUUCCAAGCAGAGACAUUCCUCUUGGCAGGACACUGCCGUUCCUUAAGACUUCAUCUGAAACGUCAUGAGCACUAAAAUAAGACAGUGAGGGAAAAUUACCAGGCACAUAGCCUAGGGCUCAGCAGUGCCAGGCUUCUAGUUUAGAAAGUAAGCCAUUGGGCAUACCAUGUGGCAGGAGCUCUUUUGAAAUAAUACACACCCAUUAAAUGUAUUUUUUUUAAAAAAAGCCUAAAUGUAAUGAUGUAUCAGCAUCUGCUUUCAAGGUUUAAUUGCAUGGGAUAGCAUGAGUUCCAAAGAGGCAGAAAGCAUGGUGUGGGAAGAGCCUUUCUGUCUACUUGGAGUCUCCCAGGAGAAACAACCUCGAAGUGGGAACCCUUUAUGAGUUUGAAUUGCAUGUUACAGGGUGCAUUGGACUGGGUGCAUUAUUUUAAAACCAUAUAAAUAAUACAAGGGGAAACCCUUCUCUCACUUAGAGGUCAAAAUGCAAAACAGUUCUGUGGUGCAGUCUCUUUGGCUGAUGAAAUCAAAACACUGAAAGAAGACAAGCACGUUUAAAGAGCCCAAGGUUUGCUCCUGGCCAUUCUCUAAGAGGGCACACUGAAAUCAAAAGCAUUUUUGAAGUGUACUUAAAAUUCUGUUUUGAACUUAUCUAAUCAGAGAUAAGUAUAGUCAUAAAGUCACUCUCCUUCAACCGUUUGGCUUACCUUAUCUCCACACAUUGUUCUUAUCUGCUGCCAGUCUUAGCUACUGACAAUAGAUUAUCUUUAUUUAGAGAAGCUAAUUGUUUUCAAAAUCUUUUUAAUAAUUGCUUUGGAACAAGGUGUGCAAAUGAGGCUUAAGAUAAUUACAGCUUCAUUUGUUUGUAUAGUUUUACUAAGCAUCCUCCACACAGAAACAAAAUAGCAGAUGAUGGGACUUAAAUUGCAGGACACCUCUGGUUCUCUGGCAGCAAAACAGGCUAGCAUUGCAACACACACACACACACACACACACACACACUUUAUUUAAUCUUCUUGGAGCCACUGUGGUUCUAGCUUUGAGGGCAGUGUCCCUCUCAGAGCAGGGCAAGGAUUAUGUUACAGCGACGGUUAUUGGAGCUGGGCACAGUUUUAUUUAAUUUACACCCCAUCCAGAGCCUUUUGCAUAAGGCUCCCAAUACAUUUUUGCUAAUGGCAAGUAAAGCUUUUCGGCAUUCAUCGGUAACAGAGGUGGCGCUGGAAAAAAAAAAGCCACUGUGCAAAUGGGAAAACUGAGUCCAGGAAAUCAGUCGACUAAGUCAAGAUACUAAACCGCAAAUGAAGCACGGGUGUCUCUAUCCAAACUCGGCUAUUGUGCCAGGGCCAACAACCCUUCUCCAGAUGCCACUUCUAGAGGCACUUUGAGAAUAAGGGGAAUGCUGCCCAGAUCAGAGUACUUGCGCCCUUUUGGUUUAGGAAGGGAAAAGGGGGAGGGAAUUAGGUUUGGCUCCCGGAGCUGAAGACAAACCUGGGAGAAGUCACUCUCUGAGUGCCUGCAGCACAGAACCCUAGUCUGCUGUUGUAUUAUUUAUCGCGUUCCAUAAGCUAUUCAUCAAUCCAUUAUUUAUUCAUCUCAACAUUAAGGUAAUUAAAUAUGAGCUCACCGGGAAAAGCCAAGACUACAAGGGACAGGGAUAGGAGUAAGGCGUAGAGGGUCAUUAGAGAACGUCUGCAGUCAUUGAUUUGUGCAGAGAUGAGCGAGGCUCCCCUUAGGUGACACCAAAGAGGGCGCCGCAUUUCAAGGUCCGGACUUGCUCACCACCCUUUUCAGCGCCCUAGUUCCCUCCUCCCGACCCCACCCCACUUCCCACCUCUCCGGGUACUCCUCCUCCCAACACUCCUUAUACUCUACUCCGCAGCAGCUUCUCCC